UUCUCAGCAAGCUGCUAUCUACUCUCUGGU
rnacentral:piRNA from 1 species